UGUUCAUGUUUAAUUUAACUUGCUGUUCAAUUAUGUUAAACAUGUGGAACUAAUUUCUUUUUUGCUAGAGGUUAAUUCAAAGCCAUGAAUAUAUUUGUAAUAUGAAUUGAUUACCUUCAGUUGUGAUUUUUGAGUUGUGAUUUAAUUUGCUUAACUGCUUGAUUGAUAACUUAUUUUUGUAUGUCGAUUAAGAAUGCAUA
rnacentral:lncRNA from 1 species